AAAUCAUCUUCGGCGACGCCAUCGUCUACGUGGAUCAUUAAUGUCCUCAUGAGCAACUACAUGGGCAUUUUCCCCCUUUGGAGUGGCAUAUUGCUUGGGGACCUGAGCAGAUUCUGACCUGAGCAAUGGGCCAAGAGAUCCCUAUCUCAAAGACCAGCAAAGCAUCAUUCAAAGUAUUUUGAUCCACCAGAAGCAGUGCCCCAACCAAAAAGACACAAGAAAAAGCAAACAUCUGAGGAUCAUUCAGAGGACACAUCCAGAUCCAUGCUCUGUGGUCUAAGAAAGCAUGUGAGAUAGUCAUUGCCGUCACACAGUCAAAGGAAAAAAAAGGUCUUAUAUCCUGCAUCAUUCAGAGCUGAAAACACUCCAGCCACAUAAAUGGCUGGUGGGGGAGACAAUCCAAUGCUAUUUUGAAGUGGUGGUGAAUAACAGAGACCAGGGACACAGGAUUUUUAUACUAGAUCACUUUGAUGACUACGAAGGAAUGAUAAGUUUCCUGAAUGUCAACGGGAAUCAUUGGAUAUUUUUGUAUCUCCAUGCAGCAUCCAGCCAGGUGUUUGUUGUAGACCCAGCAGUACAUAAUGAAGACGCAAAAUCCAUGCAUGCAGCCACUAGAUUUCAGUAAUAUUUUUUGCUUGUUAUAUACUGUGCUUACAAAGAUGGGUUACAAAUUUAAAAAAAGCAUGAAUGCUUAGCCCCUAGUGUGAAGAGGCCCACUUCUUUUUGGUGUGUUUUCUUGUCACGGGGUAUUGAAUGGUGAAUGAUAUGCUGUGUUCUUUUCUAUCACCAGAUCUUUAGUAAAAUUAAACAAAAAUUAGAUUUUGGACCAAACUGUUUGUCAGUGCUCUCCAGUAUCAUCUUGAAAAUGUAAACAUUUUGAAAUAUAUUUUGAAAAAUGUAUGUUCUAUCCCUCCUGUUGGUGUUCCAGAGACUUGGCAUAGAUCUUGCAGAUCUCUGGAUCCUUAACGAUUAUUUUCGUAAGAAUAAAAUGACAGUCUUCGAGUCUUUUACAUUGUGUAAGUAUACUAGUCUUCUCAUAAGGUUUUUUUUUUAAUGCUGUCAAAUCCUUACAAUAAUUUUACUUAUUAACUUUUACUGUAAGUAGCAAGCAAUUCACAAUAAUUGUUAAGUGUAAAGUGAGUGAGAUAUGUAAAGACAAUAAUUAUACUACAUAUAAAAAUAUACUACAUAUAUAGGAAAUGAGUAGGCAAUAAUGUUUUAACACUUAAUGUUAUCCUGUCAAUCAUUUUGAUUCGCUUAACACACUUUUUUUCCCCCCACACAUUCAGUGUUUUAUGCACUAAAGCAAAAUGGAUAAUGUUGCCUUUCUAAUAAUAUAAUUAUAUUUAUAUGACCUGUAAAGAGAACGGAGAGCACAAUGCAGAACAUUCAUUUAAAUUGACUAACACAGUGGGUCUCUUAAAUAAAAAAGAUUCACAACAACAUUUAUUGUUUGGAGUUUGUACUAACAUUUGGUAAACAUAUGGUUGUAAAAAAGAACCUUAAAGUAGUUUAAAUAACACGAAUGUGUUUUUAUUGGUUUUGGGGCCUUUUUUGCUUUAUUUUGGUAGGGAUAGUAGAAAAUUGACAAGGCAAUAUAGGAUAGAAGUGUGGGGGUGUGAUCGGGAAAAUACCCUAUGAGCUGGGAAAUGAACCCUUCACUGUAGGAGAAAAGCAAUUGAUUUGUCAUCUUUCUCUACAUUUAGACUCAACAAAGAAUUAACAAAUAAAUAGGUCAUUUACAUGAAGAAUGUUCAUGAUUUUCUUUAUGUACACUGCCUAGACUCUAGACACGAACUAGAAAUUUUUAAUUAAAUGCUAUUCCUAAAUUAUCCGCUAGGGGCGCACUGAUUUAUUCAGAGUAGAAGACGCGACACAACCCUGGAUCUCAGACCGAACAGCAGAUGGUAGCAAUGCGCCUUCUGCUGUUUGUUAUUACACUGUGACCAUUUGUAA
ensembl:lncRNA